ACCUUGUUUGUUAUCUUUAUUUUAUAAGUGCACAAAGUUUUGUUGUUAUUAUGUUUGUAUCCAAAAAAAGUAGACCCUUUACAGAUUCGAUUGAUGUAUUGCUCUUAUCUGUACGAUUAAAACUGAAAAUGUAAUUUAAGUAAUUGUCAGGGUUAUCAGCAGAAAAUGACUCAAAACGCGUAUAUGCGUUAAUCGACUCCAGAGUUAAAAGGCUGUCGUGACUUUUUUUCCUUCCAGUAUUCAUAAGCUGUAUCACGCUGUCAAAUUAUAUGUCAUUUUUCACACAUAAACAUAUCAAAAACACCUGAAUUCUGCUCUUGUUGUGUUCUAAUGGGUGGACUAGUGCUGUGAUAUUAUUUUUGGAAUCUCUUAAAAAAUGCUGAUGAAGUGCUCAUUUCUCUCUCGUCUUUCUCUCUGUUCUUUGGUCAGAGACAUAAUUUAUUAAUGAGAUAUCUGACCCGGUAAUAAUAACAUAUGUUGAUUUAGCUUGUCAGUGUGAAUGAAAUGUGUAGCCUAUUUAUUUGUCUGAUCUCGCCCUAAACGCGGCUGUCAUGUGACUUUUUUUUCCCUUCGCGAUGUCAAAUAUUGCAUUUUGCGCACAUACACGGCUCAAAAACCCCUGGAUUUUUCUCUUAGUGUGUUCUAAUGGGUGGAUUGUGUGCAUUCGCAGGAAUAUUUAUUUUAAGAAGCUCUUAAAAAAUAUAUAUAAAUGACUUUACCAUGUUGUGACGAUGGAUAACAAUUGAUGUGAGGUUCAGCCUGACAGAUAAAAUCUCACAAUCACAUAUAAACACUCAUUUUCAUGUGUAUAAUAUAUUCUUCUAAUUGUUUUGUGCCGUUUCGCUGCAGUGUUUUAAUGUGACAGGCUGUAAAUUCUCUUCAAGUGUUCAGAGAAAUACAUGGCGAGCUCGCGGGCAGUCGCGAUGCCGCGAAUAUAUCAUGUUAUUACUUUAAACAGUUCAGAAACAUCUGAUUUUAGCUCUUGGUGUGUUCUAACGUGUGGAUUGCGUGCAAUCGCCGUUUUAAAAGGUCUUAAAUAAGAAUGAAUUCGCUCGUUGUGAGCUCCGUGGAGACAGCAGCAGUGAUUCUUCUCUCAUCUUUCUGACUGCUCUCUGCCCAGAAAUCAAUUAUUAAUGAGCCCUGACCCCUGUAAUAAUCAGAUAUGUUGGUUUAGCUUGUCAGUUUGAGGGAAAUUGUAUUAUUUACUUGGUAUUUUUAACCGGUUUAAAAGUGAAACGAAACCCGGCCGACUCCUCCCUUAAUCUCGGAUAUUGCAACUAGGGGCGCAUUUUUUCUCAGUUAAUGUAAGUCUAUGGGUAAUGUAUUUGACAUUUAAAAAUUAAUAAAAAAAAAACUUUAAGUCUGAUCAGUCUGAAAAGAUAUAGCAACCAGCACCGCUCUAUCCCGCAGGUGUCUGCCGAGUUUGGGGCUUGUGGCUUUAAAGCCCUAGGAGGAGUAGCGUUCAGAAUUUCUGUCAGAAAAAUAAUAAUAAGAAAAAAAAAGAAGAAGAAGAAGAAGAAGAAGAAGAAGAAGUUUAAAUAGCAUAACAGUAUGUUGGCUUGUUGCCAAGCCAACAUAAUAACUAGAUAAAAAAGUUCGUCAAGACAAACUUUAAGUUGGCUUGAGAAAGCCUGGCCAGUUUUAAGAGUUUAAAAUUAAAUUUUAAGUUAAGUUAAAAAGUUUGAUAAUUGCUAUGCAGUUGCUAGGGUACCCGGAGUGGUUGCUAAGGUGUUGCUAUGCGGUUGCUAGGGUACCCGGAGUGGUUGCUAGGGUGUUGCUAUGCGGUUGCUAGGGUACCUGGGAUGGUUGCUAGGGUGUUGCUAUGCGGUUGCUAGGGUACCCUGAGUGGUUGCUAAGGUGUUGCUAUGCGGUUGCUAGGGUAUCUGGGAUGGUUGCUAGGGUGUUGCUAUGUGGUUGCUAGGGUACCCUGAGUUGUUGCUAAGGUGUUGCUAUGCGGUUGCUAGGGUAUCUGGGAUGGUUGCUAGGGUGUUGCUAUGCGGUUGCUAGGGUACCCCGAGUGGUUGCUAAGGUGUUGCUAUGCGGUUGCUAGGGUAUCUGGGAUGGUUGCUAGGGUGUUGC